CUCCUACGGGAGGCAGCAGUGGGGAAUUUUGCGCAAUGGGGAAACCCUGACGCAGCAACGCCGCGUGGAGGAUGAAAUAUCUUGGUAUGUAAACUCCUUUCGAUGGGGAAGAUUAUGACGGUACCCAUAGAAGAAGCCCCGGCUAACUUCGUGCCAGCAGCCGCGGUAAUACGAGGGGGGCAAGCGUUGUUCGGAUUUAUUGGGCGUAAAGGGUGCGUAGGCGGUUUGGCAAGUCUGAUGUGAAAUCUAUGGGCUCAACCCAUAGUCUGCAUCAGAAACUGCCGGGCUUGAGUAUGGGAGAGGUGAGUGGAAUUUCCGGUGUAGCGGUGAAAUGCGUAGAUAUCGGAAGGAACACCUGUGGCGAAAGCGGCUCACUGGACCAUAACUGACGCUGAUGCACGAAAGCUAGGGGAGCAAACAGGAUUAGAUACCCUGGUAGUCCUAGCCCUAAACGAUGAUUGUUUGAUGUGGCAGGUACCCAAUCCUGCCGUGUCGAAGCUAACGCGAUAAACAAUCCGCCUGGGGAGUACGGUCGCAGGGCUGAAACUCAAAGGAAUUGACGGGGGCCCGCACAAGCGGUGGAGCAUGUGGUUUAAUUCGACGCAACGCGAAGAACCUUACCUGGGCUCGAAAUGUAGUGGAAUCCGGCAGAAACGUCGGCGUCUAGCAAUAGACCGCUAUAUAGGUGCUGCAUGGCUGUCGUCAGCUCGUGUCGUGAGAUGUUGG
rnacentral:rRNA from 1 species